UACAGAGGGUGCGAGCGUUAAUCGGAAUUACUGGGCGUAAAGCGUGCGCAGGCGGUUUUGUAAGUCUGUCGUGAAAUCCCCCGGGCUUAACCUGGGAAUGGCACUUGAAACUACGGGACUGGAGUAUGGCAGAGGGAGGUGGAAUUCCACGUGUAGCGGUGAAAUGCGUAGAGAUGUGGAGGAACACCGAUGGCGAAGGCAGCCUCCUGGGCCAAUACUGACGCUCAUGCACGAAAGCGUGGGGAGCAAACAGGA
rnacentral:rRNA from 1 species